AGCGAUAUUGGUUGGUCUAUGUACCAGUGAGAGGUUGAGGUGCUCCUUGGGAUAAUGCGGCAAAAGUGACAGAUUUAGAUUCUUUCUGUGAUGUUAGAAAGAGACACAACAGUAGCAAAGAGUCCUUGCUCCCCCUUUGGUGUUGCCCUGCAGGCCUUGGUCUCCUGAUUGGGUUGUU